CAACAUGUGCAGCGGAUAUAGGAAUAUGCCUUCGGUUGCUGUCUGAGUGCAGGGAUAUUCCCAUUUUGGGAGUUUGUCUUGGACACCUGGCUUUGGGUUAUGUGCAUGGUGCUCAGAUUGUCCAUGCACCUGAAACAGUCCAUGGACGCAUGAGUGAAAUUGAGCAUGAUGGGUGCAGACUCUUCAAUAACAUCCCUUCUGGCAAAAAAUCUGGAUUUAAGGUUGUCCGAUAUCAUUCUCUUAUUAUAGAUGCACGAUCACUCCCGAAG
rnacentral:misc_RNA from 1 species